UACGAAGGGGGCUAGCGUUGCUCGGAAUUACUGGGCGUAAAGCGCACGUAGGCGGUCUUUUAAGUCGGGGGUGAAAUCCUGGAGCUCAACUCCAGAACUGCCUUCGAUACUGGAAGACUUGAGUCCGGGAGAGGUGAGUGGAACUGCGAGUGUAGAGGUGAAAUUCGUAGAUAUUCGCAAGAACACCAGUGGCGAAGGCGGCUUACUGGUCCGGUUCUGACGCUGAGGCGCGAAAGCGUGGGGAGCAAACAGG
rnacentral:rRNA from 1 species